AACGAACGCUAUCGGUAUGCUUAACACAUGCAAGUCGGACGGACUAAUUAGGGCUUGCUCCAAUUAGUUAGUGGCAGACGGGUGAGUAACACGUGGGAAUCUGCCCCUCAGUACGGAAUAACUUUUAGAAAUAAAAGCUAAUACCGUAUAUUCUCUACAGAGGAAAGAUUUAUCGCUGAUGGAUGAGCCCGCGUCAGAUUAGGUAGUUGGUGAGGUAACGGCUCACCAAGCCGACGAGCUGUAGCUGGUCUGAGAGGAUGAUCAGCCACACUGGGACUGAGACACGGCCCAGACUCCUACGGGAGGCAGCAGUGGGGAAUAUUGGACAAUGGGCGAAAGCCUGAUCCAGCAAUACCGAGUGAGUGAUAAAGGCCCUAGGGUUGUAAAGCUCUUUUAGCAAGGAAGAUAAUGACGUUACUUGCAGAAAAAGCCCCGGCUAACUCCGUG
rnacentral:rRNA from 1 species